AUGGUUUUUCUCUUUGCUCGAGGAGUGGUGGUGAAGAAGAAGAAGAAGCAGCCCCCCUUUUAGGCUUCUUUCUCUUAGCAUUUAUAGUUGUGUAUCUUGCUAGAUGGCGUUUGGAAGGCCGUGGUCAUGUCGGGUGAACGUCCGCCAAUAAUGAACAGGUCGUGGCCUCAUUAAGUUGAGUGAUCUUCGAGUACUUAUUCUUAACGAAUAAUUACGCCAUUUGUUAGCCCAAAUACGCUUGAGAGCCAAUUAAUCUUGUUAAUUAUCAUGAGUCAAGUUUUUGAGCCAUACAAAAACAUCAGCUCUAGAGCUGAAAUUUUUAUGUUGUAACUGGAAAACUUCAGCUCUAAAGCUGAAAUUUUCGUUCUAAACUUCAGUUCAUGAGAGUUGUAUAGACGAUUUGAAACAUUACCAAGUAAACAUGCUUUGCAGCAAAAAGUCACUGUUUCUGGAAGUGUAAAUUCAGAAACUCUGAUUAAGAAAUUGAUUAGAGCUGAUAAAUUUGCUGAGCUAUGGUCUCAGAAAAGUAAUCAAAACCAGAAACAGAACCCGAACUGCAUCAAAGCUGAAAAGGAUAAGGAAACUCAAAAGCAAGAUCACAUUAAGGAUCUUGAAUCCCACCUCAAGAACAAACAAAUGACAUGUUAUUACGAUAUUUUUUAGAAAAACUUUGAAAUAAAAAUCACGAUGAUGAUCUAUAAGAAGAGUGUGAACUCUAAUAAAUUAUAAAAAGACCCUGUCAGAUUUACCUUUUUGCAAAUGAAAGUAUUAAACUGAAGAACAUUGAUACAUAUAAUGCUUCUGGAAAAUAUUGUUUCCUCGCAGAAGAAGAAGAAGAAAAUGAAGGAGAAGGAGAAAGAGGCUGAAGUUAAAAAAGUGAAUACAAGUUCAAAGUUUUUAUAAAAAUGGGUAUAUGUUAAAUGGGGGCGACCAAAUAAGGUGCCCGAGAAAUUUUUACUCGGAAAAAUGGAAUAAAACUUACUCCAAAAGGCAGAGGUAUAAUCAAAAGAACUGUUGAAACAGUGACUUCAGGUGGCAAUAGUACAACAAUUAGCAGUAACGUUGUGAAAUGGAUGCAUAAGAUACAAGAGUGUCCUUCAGGCUUUUCUACGUCCCUAUGAAGUAUCACUAUUCAUUAGUAUGUUUCUAAAUUAUCAAGACAAGUAAUAAUUGCUCGAGUGCCUAUCGUCUUAAAUUAAAAGAGGGAUAUGAUACAGUAGAAGUUGAAGAUGUAUGAAAUUCUAAGACAAGAGCAAGGAUCAUCUAGUAAAGCUUCUUCAUGAGGUGGAAGUUAAGCUUGGUGAAACACAAUAUCCCUAGAUUAUAAUUGUUGAAGUUGGAAGAUGAGUACAUAAACAGUCGACCAAAUUUAGUAGAUUAUUGGGUUAUGGUGAAGCAGAGACCUAUGUCACGAACCGGAUAACUCCCUAGCUAUUUUCCGUGCGGCCUUAGUCACAAUUCGCCCCUGCGAUGUGCUAAGUCAGCCUUUCCCCGAACUAACACCACAACAAAGCUAAGAGAAGCUAAGCGUGCGGCCUUAGUCACAAUUCGCCCCUGCGAUGUGCUAAGUCAGCCUUUCCCCGAACUAUUGCCACAACAAAGCUAAGAGAAGCUAAGAAGAGAAGCUUGCAAGAAAGCUUUGUAUUAAACAAGAGAAAUCUUUAUACAAAUGUUGGAUUGCUC
rnacentral:lncRNA from 1 species